GGAUCCAACUUUGAUUCUGGCUCAGGAUGAACGCUAGCUACAGGCUUAACACAUGCAAGUCGAGGGGAAACGAUAGAGAAAGCUUGCUUUCUCUAGGCGUCGACCGGCGCACGGGUGAGUAACGCGUAUCCAACCUGCCCAUCACUUGGGGAUAACCUUGCGAAGGUAAGACUAAUACCCAAUGACGUCCAUAGAAGACAUCUGAAAUGGAUUAAGGAUUUAUCGGUGAUGGAUGGGGAUGCGUCUGAUUAGCUUGUUGGCGGGGUAACGGCCCACCAAGGCGACGAUCAGUAGGGGUUCUGAGAGGAAGGUCCCCCACAUUGGAACUGAGACACGGUCCAAACUCCUACGGGAGGCAGCAGUGAGGAAUAUUGGUCAAUGGGCGAGAGCCUGAACCAGCCAAGUAGCGUGCAGGAUGACGGCCCUAUGGGUUGUAAACUGCUUUUAUAAGGGAAUAAAGUGAGUCUCGUGAGACUUUUUGCAUGUACCUUAUGAGUAAGGACCGGCUAAUUCCGUGCCAGCAGCCGCGGUAAUACGGAAGGUCCGGGCGUUAUCCGGAUUUAUUGGGUUUAAAGGGAGCGUAGGCCGGAGAUUAAGCGUGUUGUGAAAUGUAGAUGCUCAACGUCUGCACUGCAGCGCGAACUGGUUUCCUUGAGUACGCACAAAGUGGGCGGAAUUCGUGGUGUAGCGGUGAAAUGCUUAGAUAUCACGAAGAACUCCGAUUGCGAAGGCAGCUCACUGGAGCGCAACUGACGCUGAAGCUCGAAAGUGCGGGUAUCGAACAGGAUUAGAUACCCUGGUAGUCCGCACGGUAAACGAUGGAUGCCCGCUGUUGGUCUGAAUAGGUCAGCGGCCAAGCGAAAGCAUUAAGCAUCCCACCUGGGGAGUACGCCGGCAACGGUGCAACUCAAAGGAAUUGACGG
rnacentral:rRNA from 1 species